CACGUCAGCGCGACCUGCUGAGGUGGAAGGAAAUCGCGUCCUCAACCCCCUGCCAUUUACCCUGACAUCGCGCUGACGUCGUCCUUCAGGGAGCGAUUUCCUUCCACGUCAGCAGGUCGCGCUGACGUGG
rfam:Gossypium hirsutum cultivar TM-1 chromosome 5, whole genome shotgun sequence